GUCAUUUUUCGUGUUGCUCUUGCCAAGACACAACCAUUGAUUCAAGUGUUUCUCAAGUUUUCCUCGUUGUUGCUGAUACGAAGUUACGGACUUGUGGCUUGGUUCAUCGUGUUUUUCAGAAACGAGUUUGCUUAAUGUAUUUUG